rnacentral:rRNA from 1 species
AUUGAACGCUGGCGGCGUGCCUUACACAUGCAAGUCGAACGGUUCCAGGCUUUCGGUUGCUGACGGGUGGCGUAGGGGAGAGUAAUAUAUCGGGAGGUGCCCGUUCCUGGGGGUUCAGGAGGCCAGCGUUUUGCUAAUACCGCUUACGGUCUUCGGAUGAAUGCGGGGGGUUUUCGGACGUCGCGAGGCCCGAGCGGGCGAUGGCGGUGUAGGUGGUUGGUGGGGUAAAGGAGUACGAUGCCGACGAUCUGUAGCUGGUAUGAGAGGAUGAUCAGCCGCACUGGGGCUGAGACACGGCCCAGACUCCUACGGGAGGCAGCAGUGGGGAAUUUUGGACAAUGGGCGGAAGCCGGAUGCAGCCAUGCCGCGUGCAGGGUGAAGGCCGUCGGGUUGUAGACUGCUUUUGUACGGAACGAAAAGCCUCUUGCUAAUAGAGAGGGGUCAUGACGGUACCGUAAGAAUAAGCGCCGGCUAACUACGUG